UACAGAGGUCUCGAGCGUUGUUCGGAUUCAUUGGGCGUAAAGGGCGCGUAGGCGGCGGGGUAAGUCUGGUGUGAAAUCUCCGGGCUUAACCCGGAACUGCCAAGUGAUACUGUCGUGCUAGAGUGCGGAAGGGGCAAUCGGAAUUCUCGGUGUAGCGGUGAAAUGCGUAGAUAUCGAGAGGAACACCUGAGGUGAAGACGGGUUGCUGGGCCGACACUGACGCUGAGUGCGCGAAAGCCAGGGGAGCAAACGGG
rnacentral:rRNA from 1 species